rnacentral:misc_RNA from 1 species
GAUGAAGAACGUAGCGAAAUGCGAUACGUAAUGUGAAUUGCAGAAUUCAGUGAAUCAUCGAAUCUUGAACGCAUAUUGCGCUCUCUGGUAUUCCGGAGAGCAUGCUUGUUUGAGUAUCAGUAAACACCUCAACUUCCAUAUCUUUUUUGAAAUGGGAGUUGGACUUGAGUGAUCCCAACGCUUUUCCUCACCGAAAAGUGGCGGGUUACUUGAAAUGCAGGUGCAGCUGGACUUUUCUCUGAGCUAUAAGCAUAUCUAUUUAGUCUGCCUAAAAAACAGAUUAUUACCUUUGCUGCAGCUAACAUAAAGGAGAUUAGUUCUUGUGCUGACUGAUGCAGGAUUCACAAAGACAGGCUUCGGCCGACUUUGUAAACUCGAUCUCAAAUCAAGUAAGACUACCCGCUGAACUUAAGCAUAUCAAUAAGCGGAGGA